AGGACGAACGCUGGCGGCGUGCUUAACACAUGCAAGUCGAACGUGAUCCGGGGCUUGCUCCGGUGAAAGUGGCGGACGGGUGAGUAACGCGUGGGAACCUGCCCAGUGGUCGGGGAUAACUGCGGGAAACUGCAGCUAAUACCCGGUAAGCCCUAUGGGGGAAAGAUUUAUCGCCAUUGGAGGGGCCCGCGUCGGAUUAGGUAGUUGGUGGGGUAAAGGCCUACCAAGCCUUCGAUCCGUAGCUGGUCUGAGAGGAUGAUCAGCCACACUGGGACUGAGAUACGGCCCAGACUCCUACGGGAGGCAGCAGUGGGGAAUAUUGGACAAUGGGCGCAAGCCUGAUCCAGCAAUGCCGCGUGAGUGAAGAAGGCCUUAGGGUUGUAAAGCUCUUUCGGCGGGGACGAUGAUGACGGUACCCGCAGAAGAAGCCCCGGCUAACUCCGCGCCAGCAGCCGC
rnacentral:rRNA from 1 species